rnacentral:rRNA from 1 species
UACGUAGGCAGCAAGCGUUGUUCGGAGUUACUGGGCGUAAAGGGUGUGUAGGCGGUUCUUUAAGUUUGGUGUGAAAUCUCCCGGCUCAACCGGGAGGGUGCGCCGAAAACUGAAGGGCUAGAGUGCGGGAGAGGAGAGUGGAAUUCCGUGGUGUAGCGGUGAAAUGCGUAGAUAUCAGGAGGAACACCGGUGGUGUAAACGGCUCUCUGGACCGUAACUGACGCUGAGACACGAAAGCGUGGGUAGCAAACAGG